GGAAUCUUCCACAAUGGACGCAAGUCUGAUGGAGCAACGCCGCGUGAGUGAAGAAGGUUUUCGGAUCGUAAAACUCUGUUGUUGGAGAAGAACACGUUUGAGAGUAACUGUUCAGACGUUGACGGUAUCCAACCAGAAAGCCACGGCUAACUACGUGCCAGCAGCCGCGGUAAUACGUAGGUGGCAAGCGUUGUCCGGAAUUACUGGGUGUAAAGGGAGCGCAGGCGGGGAAGCAAGUCAGUGGUGAAAUGCAUGGGCUUAACCCAUGAACUGCCAUUGAAACUGUUUUUCUUGAGUGGAUCAGAGGCAAGCGGAAUUCCGAGUGUAGCGGUGAAAUGCGUAGAUAUUCGGAGGAAGACCAGUGGCGAAGGCGGCUUGCUGGGGUCUAACUGACGCUGAGGCUCGAAAGUGUGGGGAGCAAACA
rnacentral:rRNA from 1 species